UGCCGCGUGUGUGAAGAAGGCCUUCGGGUUGUAAAGCACUUUCAGUCGUGAGGAAGGCGGUGUAGUUAAUAGCUGCAUCGUUUGACGUUAGCGACAGAAGAAGCACCGGCUAACUCCGUGCCAGCAGCCGCGGUAAUACGGAGGGUGCGAGCGUUAAUCGGAAUUACUGGGCGUAAAGCGCAUGCAGGUGGUUUGUUAAGUCAGAUGUGAAAGCCCGGGGCUCAACCUCGGAAUUGCAUUUGAAACUGGCAGACUAGAGUACUGUAGAGGGGGGUAGAAUUUCAGGUGUAGCGGUGAAAUGCGUAGAGAUCUGAAGGAAUACCGGUGGCGAAGGCGGCCCCCUGGACAGAUACUGACACUCAGAUGCGAAAGCGUGGGGAGCAAACAGGAUUAGAUACCCUGGUAGUCCACGCCGUAAACGAUGUCUACUUGGAGGUUGUGGCCUUGAGCCGUGGCUUUCGGAGCUAACGCGUUAAGUAGACCGCCUGGGGAGUACGGUCGCAAGAUUAAAACUCAAAUGAAUUGACGGGGGCCCGCACAAGCGGUGGAGCAUGUGGUUUAAUUCGAUGCAACGCGAAGAACCUUACCUACUCUUGACAUCCAGAGAACUUUCCAGAGAUGGAUUGGUGCCUUCGGGAACUCUGAGACAGGUGCUGCAUGGCUGUCGUCAGCUCGUGUUGUGAAAUGUUGGGUUAAGUCCCGCAACGAGCGCAACCCUUAUCCUUGUUUGCCAGCGAGUAAUGUCGGGAACUCCAGGGAGACUGCCGGUGAUAAACCGGAGGAAGGUGGGGACGACGUCAAGUCAUCAUGGCCCUUACGAGUAGGGCUACACACGUGCUACAAUGGCGCAUACAGAGGGC
rnacentral:rRNA from 1 species